rnacentral:rRNA from 1 species
GUUGGGAAUCUUGGGCAAUGGGCGCAAGCCUGACCCAGCGACGCCGCGUGGGGGAUGAAGGCCUUCGGGUUGUAAACCCCUGUCAAGAGGGACGAAGCCGGGCCUCGUGUCCGGUGACGGUACCUCUGGAGGAAGCCCCGGCUAACUACGUGCCAGCAGCCGCGGUAAGACGUAGGGGGCGAGCGUUGUCCGGAAUCACUGGGCGUAAAGCGCGUGCAGGCGGUCCGUUAAGUGGCGUGUGAAAGCCCGCGGCUCAACCGUGGGACGCCGCGCCAAACUGGCGGGCUUGAGGGCGGGAGAGGGAAGUGGAAUUCCUGGUGUAGCGGUGAAAUGCGUAGAUAUCAGGAGGAACGCCAGUGGCGAAGGCGGCUUCCUGGCCCGUCCCUGACGCUGAGACGCGAAAGCUGGGGGAGCGAACGGGAUUAGAAACCCGAGUAGUCC